GACGAACGCUGGCGGCGUGCUUAACACAUGCAAGUCGAACGGAAAGGCCCUGCUUUUGUGGGGUGCUCGAGUGGCGAACGGGUGAGUAACACGUGAGUAGCCUGCCCUUGACUUUGGGAUAACUUCAGGAAACUGGGGCUAAUACCGGAUAGGAGCUCCUGCUGCAUGGUGGGGGUUGGAAAGUUUCGGCGGUUGGGGAUGGACUCGCGGCUUAUCAGCUUGUUGGUGGGGUAGUGGCUUACCAAGGCUUUGACGGGUAGCCGGCCUGAGAGGGUGACCGGCCACAUUGGGACUGAGAUACGGCCCAGACUCCUACGGGAGGCAGCAGUGGGGAAUAUUGCACAAUGGGCGGAAGCCUGAUGCAGCAACGCCGCGUGCGGGAUGACGGCCUUCGGGUUGUAAACCGCUUUCGCCUGUGACGAAGCGUGAGUGACGGUAAUGGGUAAAGAAGCACCGGCUAACUACGUGCCAGCAGCCGCGGUGAUACGUAGGGUGCGAGCGUUGUCCGGAUUUAUUGGGCGUAAAGGGCUCGUAGGUGGUUGAUCGCGUCGGAAGUGUAAUCUUGGGGCUUAACCCUGAGCGUGCUUUCGAUACGGGUUGACUUGAGGAAGGUAGGGGAGAAUGGAAUUCCUGGUGGAGCGGUGGAAUGCGCAGAUAUCAGGAGGAACACCAGUGGCGAAGGCGGUUCUCUGGGCCUUUCCUGACGCUGAGGAGCGAAAGCGUGGGGAGCGAACAGGCUUAGAUACCCUGGUAGUCCACGCUGUAAACGGUGGGUACUAGGUGUGGGGUCCAUUCCACGGGUUCCGUGCCGUAGCUAACGCUUUAAGUACCCCGCCUGGGGAGUACGGCCGCAAGGCUAAAACUCAAAGGAAUUGACGGGGCCCCGCACAAGCGGCGGAGCAUGCGGAUUAAUUCGAUGCAACGCGUAGAACCUUACCUGGGUUUGACAUGGAUCGGGAGUGCUCAGAGAUGGGUGUGCCUCUUUUGGGGUCGGUUCACAGGUGGUGCAUGCCUGUCGUCAGCUCGUGUCGUGAGAUGUUGGGUUAAGUCCCGCAACGAGCGCAACCCUUGUUCACUGUUGCCAGCACGUUAUGGUGGGGACUCAGUGGAGACCGCCGGGGUCAACUCGGAGGAAGGUGGGGAUGACGUCAAGUCAUCAUGCCCCUUAUGUCCAGGGCUUCACGCAUGCUACAAUGGCUGGUACAGAGAGUGGCGAGCCUGUGAGGGUGAGCGAAUCUCGGAAAGCCGGUCUCAGUUCGGAUUGGGGUCUGCAACUCGACCUCAUGAAGUCGGAGUCGCCAGUAAUCGCAGAUCAGCAACGCUGCGGUGAAUACGUUCCCGGG
rnacentral:rRNA from 1 species